GACGAACGCUGGCGGCGUGCUUAACACAUGCAAGUCGAACGGACAGGCCUCUUUCGGGGGGUACUCGAGUGGCGAACGGGUGAGUAACACGUGAGUAACUUGCCCUUGACUUUGGGAUAACUUCAGGCAACUGGGGCGAAUACCGGCUAGGAGCUCCUGCUGCACGGUGGGGGUUGUAAAGUUUCGGGGGUUGGGAGUGGCCUCGCGGGUUAUCGGCUUGUUGGUGGCGUAGUGGCUUACCAAGGCCUUGCCGGGUAGCCGGCCCGUGGGGGUGACCGGCCACAUAGAGUCUGAGGUAAGGCCCCGGCUCGGAAGGGACGGCGCAGUGGGGAAUCUUGCACAAUGAGUGGAGGCCUGAUGCAGAAACGCCGCGGGCGGGAUGACGGCCUUAUGGUUGUAGACCGCUUGCGCACAUGACGAAGCACUGUGUGACGGUAGUGGGUAAAGAAGCACCGGCUAACUACGUG
rnacentral:rRNA from 1 species